rnacentral:rRNA from 1 species
UACGAAGGGGGGCUAGCGUUGCUCGGAAUCACUGGGCGUAAAGCGCACGUAGGCGGGUCUUUAAGUCAGGGGUGAAAUCCUGGAGCUCAACUCCAGAACUGCCUUUGAUACUGAGGAUCUUGAGUUCGGGAGAGGUGAGUGGAACUGCGAGUGUAGAGGUGAAAUUCGUAGAUAUUCGCAAGAACACCAGUGGCGAAGGCGGCUCACUGGCCCGGUACUGACGCUGAGGCACGAAGCGUGGGGAGCAAACAGG